UUUUUUUACUUGUUGUUGAUUUUCCUGAAUACUUGAGCCCCACCAUUUUUUUUAAAAGACUUAGGAUUUUUAACAUGAUUUGAAAGUAUAUAGGUUGUAAAAAGCAGAGAGAAUAGGUUGAGGAGACUUGGGAAAAUUCGACAAAGUCGGUAUUAUCCCAACACCUCAAGCCUCCCACAUAUGCAUACUAGUUUAAAUUCC
rnacentral:lncRNA from 1 species